rnacentral:rRNA from 1 species
GGCCCGCACAAGCGGUGGAGCAUGUGGUUUAAUUCGAUGCAACGCGAAGAACCUUACCUACUCUUGACAUCCAGAGAACUUAGCAGAGAUGCUUUGGUGCCUUCGGGAACUCUGAGACAGGUGCUGCAUGGCUGUCGUCAGCUCGUGUUGUGAAAUGUUGGGUUAAGUCCCGCAACGAGCGCAACCCUUAUCCUUUGUUGCCAGCGAUUCGGUCGGGAACUCAAAGGAGACUGCCGGUGAUAAACCGGAGGAAGGUGGGGAUGACGUCAAGUCAUCAUGGCCCUUACGAGUAGGGCUACACACGUGCUACAAUGGCGUAUACAAAGAGAAGCGACCUCGCGAGAGCAAGCGGAACUCAUAAAGUACGUCGUAGUCCGGAUUGGAGUCUGCAACUCGACUCCAUGAAGUCGGAAUCGCUAGUAAUCGUAGAUCAGAAUGCUACGGUGAAUACAUUCCCGGGCCUUGUACACACCGCCCGUCACACCAUGGGAGUGGGUUGCAAAAGAAGUAGGUAGCUUAACCUUCGGGAGGGCGCUUACCACUUUGUGAUUCAUGACUGGGGUGAAGUCGU